rnacentral:rRNA from 1 species
UCCUACGGGAGGCAGCAGUGAGGAAUAUUGGUCAAUGGCCGGAAGGCUGAACCAGCCAAGCCGCGUGAAGGACGAAGGUGCCAAGCAUUGUAAACUUCUUUUGUCAAGGGACAAAAUCAGGCUCGAGAGCCUGACCGAGGGUACUUGAAGAAAAAGCAUCGGCUAACUCCGUGCCAGCAGCCGCGGUAAUACGGAGGAUGCGAGCGUUAUCCGGAUUUAUUGGGUUUAAAGGGUGCGUAGGCGGAUUUUUAAGUCAGCGGUAAAAUGUCCGGGCUCAACCCGGGCCGGCCGUUGAAACUGGGGAU